rnacentral:rRNA from 1 species
AAUGGACGAAAGUCUGACGCAGCGACGCCGCGUGGGUGACGAAGGCCUUCGGGUCGUAAAGCCCUGUCAAGGGGAAAGAACUGGUGCGUGGUAACUCGCAUCACUGACGGUACCCCUGAAGGAAGCACUGGCUAACUCCGUGCCAGCAGCCGCGGUAAUACGGGGAGUGCAAGCGUUGUUCGGAAUCAUUGGGCGUAAAGCGCAUGUAGGCGGCUUAGUAAGUCUGAAGUGAAAUCCCUCGGCCCAACCGAGGACGUGCUCUGGAAACUACUAGGCUUGAAUCCUGGAGGGGCAAGUGGAAUUCCCAGUGUAGGGGUGAAAUCCGUAGAUAUUGGGAGGAACACCGGUGGCGAAGGCGACUUGCUGGACAGUGAUUGACGCUGAGAUGCGAAAGCGUGGGUAGCAAACAGGAUU